UACAGAGGCCUCGAGCGUUAGGCGGAAUCACUGGGCUUAAAGCGUGUGUAGGCGGACUUCUAAGUACCUUGUGAAAUCCCACGGCUCACCCGUGGAACUGCUUGGUAUACUGGUUGUCUUGAGCCUUCUAGGGGCGAGUGGAACAAAUGGUGGAGCGGUGAAAUGCGUAGAUAUCAGGAGGAACACCUAUUGCGAAGGCAGCUCGCUGGGACGUAACUGACGCUGAGACGCGAAAGCGUGGGGAGCAAACAGG
rnacentral:rRNA from 1 species